CAAAUUAGUUCUAUUAGAAGGGAAUUCAUUUACACUGAAUUUGUUAUUGUGCAAUUCAAUAUAGUUUGA
rnacentral:tRNA from 1 species